rnacentral:misc_RNA from 1 species
CCAGAAGAGACCCUAACCGGUCCUCUCAACCCUGCCCAUCGUACCCCUUGUGUUGUUCCCUCGGCGAGGCUUUUCAAGCCCGCCGGCGGGAAGAUCAACGAAACUCUUUGCAAGCAAGCAUCCUGAAACCUCUGAUCGAAUACAAAUUGUCA